UGGGAGAUCGUCUAGCGGUAGGACAAUGGACUCUGACUCCAUUAACCCAGGUUCGAAUCCUGGUUUCCCAGCCA
rnacentral:tRNA from 1 species